CAUUAACAAGCCGUGGAGGUCAACCUUUAAAAGAGGAUUGAUCUCACACCUGGCCACCCUUGUUUAUUUUAACCUGUUGCUUUGGUGGGCCUGCCGCGAGGCUGCCGGGAAGCUUUUUAGUUUCUGGGCCAGCGCUCACCAAAGUCUUAAUGAACUCUGGAUGAUAUUUUGUUGCAAGUCUGAGUAUGCAAAUAUAAAAUUUGUUAAAACUUUCAACAACGGAUCUCUUGGUUCUGGCAUCGAUGAAGAACGCAGCGAAAUGCGAUAAGUAAUGUGAAUUGCAGAAUUCCGUGAAUCAUCGAAUCUUUGAACGCAUAUUGCGCCCUCUGGUAUUCCGGAGGGCAUGCCUGUCCGAGCGUCAUUACUAUCUUCAAGCGCGGCUUGUGUGUUGAGCCUUUGUUCUUUAAAUGGACAGGCUUGAAAUGCAGUGGCAAUGCUGCAGCUGGUGCCCGAGCGUUAUGGGGCUUUGUCACUCGCUCUGUUGGCUCCAACCAGCAUUUUUUGCCAUAAAACCUCUUUUUAUCAAACUGACCUCGGAUCAGGCAAGAAUACCC
rnacentral:rRNA from 1 species